rnacentral:rRNA from 1 species
UACGUAGGGGGCAAGCGUUGUCCGGAAUCAUUGGGCGUAAAGAGCGUGUAGGCGGCCUGGCAAGUCCGCUGUGAAAGUCCAGGGCUCAACCCUGGGAUGCCGGUGGAUACUGUCGGGCUCGAGUCCGGAAGAGGAGUGUGGAAUUCCUGGUGUAGCGGUGAAAUGCGCAGAUAUCAGGAGGAACACCAAUGGCGAAGGCAGCACUCUGGGACGUGACUGACGCUGAGACGCGAAAGCGUGGGGAGCAAACAGG